GUUUCCGGCCACCUUGAACGUGCCCGAUCUCAUCUGAUCUCGGAAGCUAAGCAGGGUUGGGACUGGUUAGUACUUGGAUGGGAGACCACCUAGGAAUACCAAGUGCUGUAGGUG
rnacentral:rRNA from 1 species